rnacentral:rRNA from 1 species
GACGAACGCUGGCGGCGUGCCUAAUACAUGCAAGUAGAACGCAGUUGGGAACGGGUGAGUAACGCGUAGGUAACUGCCCCAUAGCGGGGGAUAACCAUUGGAAACGAAAGCUACUACCGCAAACUGUGAGAAGGACCUGAGUUGUAUUGGCUAGUUGGUAAGGGAAAGGCUCACCAAGACGACGAUACAUAGCCGACCUGGGAGGGUGAUCGGCCACACUGCGACUUCAACCCGGCCCAAACACCUACGGCAGGCAGCAGUAGGGAAUCUUCGGCAAUGAACGGAAGUCUGACCGAGCAACCCCGCGUGAGUGCGGAAGGUUUUCGGAUCGUAAAGCUCUGUUGUUAGAGACGCGGUAACUAACCAGAAAGCGACGGCUAACUACUUGCCAGCAGCCGCGAUAAUUC